AGAUGUGAAAGAGCAGAUCAUGUCUUACUUUUGCAGAUCUUUUAUAGUGCGGUGCCGUGAAAAAAAUAAGGUAAAUGAGAUUGAGCAGAUACAGAAGGUGAAAUUACCAUACUUAGUACAUUGUGGUGAUGAAAAUAAAUCAGAGUGACAGGCUGCAAAAUAUCGCCUCCCAAAUCAUGGCAGCCCAAUUCAGGCUUUUUAAAACAAAGCUCUGCUCCAUUUGAUCUAUGCUUGCCAUAUCAAAUUUGUAAGGCCUGAUAAUGAUCUCCAGAUGCUG
rnacentral:lncRNA from 1 species